rnacentral:rRNA from 1 species
CAGCCGCCACGGGAAUACGUAGGGUGCGAGCGUUGUCCGGAAUUACUGGGCGUAAAGAGCUCGUAGGUGGUUUGUCGCGUCGUCUGUGAAAUUCUGCAGCUUAAAUGUAGGCGUGCAGGCGAUACGGGCAGACUUGAGUACUACAGGGGAGACUGGAAUUCCUGGUGUAGCGGUGAAAUGCGCAGAUAUCAGGAGGAACACCGGUGGCGAAGGCGGGUCUCUGGGUAGUAACUGACGCUGAGGAGCGAAAGCGUGGGUAGCGAACAGGAUUAGAUACCCCUGUAGUCCCUGUCUCUUAUAC